ACGAAGUCGGAAUUGCUAGUAAUCGUAGGUCAGCAUACUACGGUGAAUACGUUCCCGGGCCUUGUACACACCGCCCGUCAAACCAUGGGAGUUGGCAACACCCGAAGUCGGUAGUCUAACCGCAAGGAGGACGCCGCCGAAGGUGGGGUUGAUGAUUAGGGUUAAGUCGUAACAAGGUAGC
rnacentral:rRNA from 1 species